GUGCUCAUUUCAGGCAGCUUAUAUACUAAAAUUGGAAUGAUACAGAGAAGAUUAACAUGGUGCCUACGCAUGAACGACAUACAUUCGUGAAGUGUUUCAUUAAAAA
ensembl:snRNA U6 U6 spliceosomal RNA